rnacentral:tRNA from 1 species
UGGGUUGUGGCUCAGUGUCAGAGUGCAUGCCUUGCACAUGUGUGAUGCUGAGUUCGAUCCUCAGCACUACAA